rnacentral:rRNA from 1 species
GAUCUGGCUCAGGAUGAACGCUAGCGGCAGGCUUAACACAUGCAAGUCGAGGGGUAGGAGAAGCUUGCUUUUCUGAGACCGGCGCACGGGUGCGUAACGCGUAUGCAAUCUACCUUUCACAAAGGGAUAGCCCAGAGAAAUUUGGAUUAAUACCUUAUAGUAUUAUAGAAUGGCAUCAUUUUAUAAUUAAAGAUUUAUCGGUGAAAGAUGAGCAUGCGUCCCAUUAGCUAGUUGGUAUGGUAACGGCAUACCAAGGCUACGAUGGGUAGGGGUCCUGAGAGGGAGAUCCCCCACACUGGUACUGAGACACGGACCAGACUCCUACGGGAGGCAGCAGUGAGGAAUAUUGGACAAUGGGCGCAAGCCUGAUCCAGCCAUGCCGCGUGCAGGAUGACGGUCCUAUGGAUUGUAAACUGCUUUUAUACAGGAAGAAACACCUCUACGUGUAGAGACUUGACGGUACUGUAAGAAUAAGGAUCGGCUAACUCC